AGAAAUAUAUAAAUUCUGAAGAGUAUGAGAAAGAAAAAGAAAAAGAGAGAGGUGCCAUAAGCAAUAAAAAAGCAUAUGAAGCACCAAAGAAAAAAUUCCAGAAGUUUGAAAAAGGAGAAUCGUCCUGGAGACCAAAACACGACGGAAAGGUCUAUCAGACAUCUGAGGAGUUUGGGAAAUCAAGGUAUCCAAAGUACAAAGACUUGGGAUUUACGGUUUUCACUACUCCAAAAGAGGAAAUCUAUAAUAAAGAAAAAGGAAGAAUAAGGUUUCCUCAACCAGAAGAGUUGAACCCUGCAACAAAAGAGGCUCGAACAAGGAGGAACAGGUAUUGCAAGUUCCACAAGGAUUACGGGCACAACACAGAGAACUGCAGGGAGCUGAGCACCUUCCUAGACACACAAGUAAAGGAAGGGAAGCUAAGGCAAUAUAUAAAUAAAAUAGAAAGGGGGCGACAAGGCUGCAAGGACCCAAAGAACAAGGGUAAGCGCCAACGCUCAAGAAGUCCCGAUUCAGACACUGA
rnacentral:lncRNA from 1 species